rnacentral:tRNA from 1 species
UUAGUUGAAACCAAAUAGAGGUAUAUCACUGUUAAUGAUAUUAUUGAAUUCUUAAAUUCCAAUUAAG